rnacentral:misc_RNA from 1 species
AGGUAGGCAGUGGUUGCCGACCUCGUUACUUACCAAUAAAUAAAGUAUAUUAUUUUCCGUACAAAUUGUUUCUCAGUUCUUAUGAACAUUGGGACUUGGCUCCGCGGUUAAUAGGAAUAUACGACAUUAGAUAAUAUCGUUGAAACAACAGUCAAGUUUCUAUUAUACAUAGAAUAACAAAUCGUUUCCAUAUAUUAUCGUUAAUUUUUGAGGCAGGCAAAUUUAUUAUUAUUUAUUUAAUAAUAUAUUACCUGCCGUAAGAUUGGAAGAUUAUAUCGUUACCGCGGUAUAAUAAAUAUAUUCAUAUUAUUACAUGAUGGAAAUAUUACAAAUAUUAUAUAGAAAGAAAAUCAUAUGCACUCGGUUUUAUGUUAUAUAUUACCAGAGAGUUAUAUGGAAAAAGAUAAAUAUUAAAUUUAUCAUCAAAAUGCAAAUGAUUUAACUCAAUAUUUAUAUUGGUUAAUCAAAAAUUGUACAUGUGUGGAUACAAUAAUUAUGUAUGUUGGAAACAAAAUGAUAUUUUAGAAUGAAAUAUGUAUAAUAUAAAUACAAAAUUAUAGAAAUAUAUAUAUUAUAAUAAUUUAUUAUUAUAUGAACUUGUUAAUAAUGGUGAAACAAGUAUAAAAUAAGAAUGGAAUAUACGAAUACGAAUGCUAUAUAAAAAUGGCCGUAAUCGAAUUAAUAGAGAUUUAAAAUUUUACCCAAAGGCAAAAUAUUGAAGUAUUUUUCAAUAUGAUAAAAUAAAUGGAAUUAUAUAAAAUGGAAAUCUAUAAUAUUUAUAUUGCUUAUUUCAAUUCAAAAAAUAUGAAUGAAAUAUGAAGAAAGAAACAUUAUUCUGGUUGAUCCUGCCAGUAGUUAUAUGCUUGUCUCAAAGAUUAAGCCAUGCAUGUCUAAGUACACACGAAUUAAAAGUGAAACCGCAAAAGGCUCAUUAUAUCAGUUAUGGUUCCUUAGAUCGUUAACAGUUACUUGGAUAACUGUGGUAAUUCUAGAGCUAAUACAUGCAAUUAAAACAUGAACCUUAUGGGACAUGUGCUUUUAUUAGGCUAAAACCAAGCGAUCGCAAGAUCGUUAUAUUGGUUGAACUCUAGAUAACAUGCAGAUCGUAUGGUCUUGUACCGACGACAGAUCU